CCCCUAGAUGUUCUGGGCCGCACGCGCGCUACACUGAACAGUUCAACAAGUCUUAACCUUGGCCGAUAGGUCUGGGUAAUCUUUGAACGCUGUUCGUGAUUGGGAUAGACCUUUGCAAUUAUGGGUCUUCAACGAGGAAUUCCUAGUAAACGCAAGUCAUCAGCUUGCAUUGAUUACGUCCCUGCCCUUUGUACACACCGCCCGUCGCACCUACCGAUUGAAUGGUCCGGUGAAAUCUCGGGACGGCGGCUCGGUCGCUUGCGUCCGACUGCUGAAACUUGAUUAAACCAUAUCAUUUAGAGGAAGGUAAAGUCGUAACA
rnacentral:rRNA from 1 species